rnacentral:RNase_P_RNA from 1 species
ACCGCAGACCGCCUUAUCGACUCGUCUUUUGGGACGAGUAGGAAAGUCCGGACACCAAAGAGUAGCAUAUUGGGUAACGCCCAACCGUUGAAAGACGAGGACAAGUGCAACAGAAAGUAUGUACAGUUCGGCUGUAGUGAAACCAGGUAAACUCUAUGCGGUGAAAUUUCAAGUAUAUCGACAUUUAAGGAUUACUCGUCCGUUGUCGAAGGGUAGAAAGAUUGAUCUCGUUGGUAACAACGAGACUAGAUAAAUGAUAAGGUAUCGUCUCGUUUUUAGGAACGAGACGAGAACAGAAUCCGGCUUAUAGGUCUGCUUUUUUU